CAGUCGCCACGGUAAUACGUAGGGUGCAAGCGUUAUCCGGAAUUAUUGGGCGUACAGAGCUCGUAGGCGGUCUGUCGCGUCUGCUGUGAAAACUGGGGGCUCAACCCCCAGCCUGCAGUGGGUACGGGCAGACUAGAGUGCGGUAGGGGAGAUUGGAAUUCCUGGUGUAGCGGUGGAAUGCGCAGAUAUCAGGAGGAACACCGAUGGCGAAGGCAGAUCUCUGGGCCGUAACUGACGCUGAGGAGCGAAAGCAUGGGGAGCGAACAGGAUUAGAUACCCGCGUAGUCCCUGUCUCUUAUAC
rnacentral:rRNA from 1 species